rnacentral:rRNA from 1 species
AUGGCGGCAAAGUUCUUCCUCCUUGCCCUUCUGGCUCUGUCGUUUUCCCGUGCCCGUGCCUCGGACCCGAGCCAGCUCCAGGAUUUCUGUGUCGCUGACAGGACAUCCCAAGUUUUUGUCAAUGGAUUUGCAUGCAAGGACCCGAAGACUGCCGUGGUAGAAGACUUUCACUUCUCGGGCCUUCACAUGGCCGGGAACGCGAGCAACAAGCAAGGCUCCGCUGUGACGGCGGUUAAUGUGGCGCAUAUUGCUGGGCUCAACACUUUGGGCAUCUCCUUGGCUCGGGUUGAUUAUGCUCAAUAUGGUCAAAACCCACCCCACAUCCACCCCUUAUUCUCAAAAGUUCUUAACAAAGGGGAUGUUUUUGUGUUUCCGCAAGGGCUAAUUCACUUUCAAUACAACUGUGGAACCAAAGAAGCUAUAGCCAUUGCAGCGCUGAGCAGCAAGAACCCUGGAGUGAUCACCAUAGCCAAUGCGGUGUUUGCAUCCAAGCCCUCCAUCUCAGAUGAUAUCGUUGCCAAAGCCUUUCAGGUGGACAAGAAGAUUGUUGAGCAUAUCCAAGCUCAAUUCUAG